GGGCACUUGGUCUAGGGGUAUGAUUUUCGUUUCGCAUGUUGUACCAACAUCAUGUAUGAAAGGUCGUGGGUUCAAUUCCCACAGUGUCCA